rnacentral:rRNA from 1 species
UACGUAGGGGGCGAGCGUUAUCCGGAAUUACUGGGUGUAAAGGGUGCGUAGGCGGUACGGCAAGUUUGAUGUGAAACCCGCGGGCUUAACCCGAGGCAUGCAUCGAAAACUACUGAACUAGAGUGCAGGAGAGGAAAGCGGAAUUCCUAGUGUAGCGGUGAAAUGCGUAGAUAUUAGGAAGAACACCAGUGGCGAAGGCGGCUUUCUGGACUGCAACUGACGCUGAGGCACGAAAGCGUGGGGAGCAAACAGG